rnacentral:rRNA from 1 species
UACAGAGGUCUCAAGCGUUGUUCGGAUUCAUUGGGCGUAAAGGGUGCGUAGGCGGCGCGGUAAGUCGGGUGUGAAAUCUUGGAGCUUAACUCCGAAACUGCAUUCGAUACUGGCGUGCUUGAGGACUGGAGAGGAGACUGGAAUUUACGGUGUAGCGGUGAAAUGCGUAGAUAUCGUAAGGAAGACCAGUGGCGAAGGCGGGUCUCUGGACAGUUCCUGACGCUGAAGCACGAAGGCCAGGGGAGCAAACGGG